UGAAGCGCCUGUUCUUGGAU
rnacentral:miRNA from 1 species